CCUACGGGUGGCAGCAGUGGGGAAUAUUGGGCAAUGGGGGAAACCCUGAUCCAGCAACGCCGCGUGAAUGAUGAAGUAUUUCGGAUUGUAAACCCCUGUCACCAGGGAUGAAAGAUGACGGUACCCUGUAAACAAGCCCCGGCAAACUACGUGCCAGCAGCCGCGGUAAUACGUAGGGGGCGAGCGUUGUCCGGAAUGACUGGGUGUAAAGGGAGUGUAGGCGGGAGGAUAAGUCAUGUGUGAAAGCCCGCGGCUCAACCGCGGAAUUGCAGAUGAAACUGUUAGGCUUGAGUGCUGGAGAGGUAGGUGGAAUUCCCGGUGUAGCGGUGGAAUGCGUAGAUAUCAGGAGGAACACCAGUGGCGAAGGCG
rnacentral:rRNA from 1 species